UCGAGAAUCUUCGGCAAUGGGCGCAAGCCUGACCGAGCGACGCCGCGUGCGGGAUGAAGGCCUUCGGGUUGUAAACCGCUGUCAGAGGGGAUGAAAUGCAUGGGGGUUCUCCCCCAUGUUUGACAUAGCCUCAGAGGAAGGACGGGCUAAGUUCGUGCCAGCAGCCGCGGUAAGACGAACCGUCCAAACGUUAUUCGGAAUCACUGGGCUUAAAGGGUGCGUAGGCGGCGCGGAAAGUUGGGUGUGAAAUACCUCGGCUCAACCGAGGAACUGCGCCCAAAACUACCGUGCUCGAGGGAGAUAGAGGUGAGCGGAACUUAGGGUGGAGCGGUGAAAUGCGUUGAUAUCCUAAGGAACACCGGUGGCGAAAGCGGCUCACUGGAUCUCUUCUGACGCUGAGGCACGAAAGCUAGGGUAGCGAACGGGAUUAGAUACCCCCGUAGUCC
rnacentral:rRNA from 1 species